rnacentral:rRNA from 1 species
CUAGAAAAGAACCAAUAUGGGGCGCAAGUUCCAUCUAACAGAUGAUUCAUAGUAAGACUUCACGCGAAUCGGAGGCUUAAGUCUCCGAUGAUGCAAACGAGUUUCUGCCCUAUCAACUUUCAACCGUAGUGUGGGGGACUACGGUGGUUGUAACGGGUACGGGGAAUUAGGGUUCGAUUCCGGAGAGGCCGCCUGAGAAACGGCGACCACUUCCAAGGAAGGCAGCAGGCGCGUAAAUUAUCCAAUCCCGAUUCGGGGAGAUAGUGUCAAGAAAUACCGGUGUAGUGACCUACAUGGUUCUACGAUCGGAAUGAGUACAAUUCAAAAACAUUAGCGAGUAACAAUUGGAGGGCAAGUCUGGUGCCAGCAGCCGCGGUAAUUCCAGCUCCAAUAGUGUAUAUUAAAGUUGUUGCGGUUAAAAAGCUCGUGGUUGGACUUUGGGGUCGAGCGUUACAGACCCUCUCGGUUCUGCCGGGGGGAAUCAGUCUGGAUGUUUCUUCCUCUUUCUCGGAACGUUAACAGGGGUUCAUGGUUCGCCAUGUUCUCUUGGUUUCGCAGGAUUUACUUUGAAUAAAUUAGGGUGUUCAAAGCAGGCGCAACUCGCCUUGAAUACAUUAGCAUGGGAUAAUAGAAUAUGACCUUUGGUCUACUUAUUGGUUUCUAAGGCCAAGGUAAUGAUUAAUAGGGAUAGUUGAGGUCGCUCGUAUUCAAUGGUCAGAGGUGAAAUUCUAAGACCCAUUGAGGACGAACAAAUGCGAAGGCAUUCGACAAGGAUGUUUUCAUUAAUCAAGAACGAAAGUUGUGGGAUCGAAGAUGAUUAGAUACCGUCGUAGUCACAACCGUAAGCUAUGUCGACUCAGGAUCCGGGGAUGUUACAUGGAUGACUCUCCGGGCACUGUGUGCGAAAGCAUAAGUAUUCUGACUCCGGGGGGAGUAUGGUCGCAAGGCUGAAACUUAAAGGAAUUGACGGAAGGGCACCACCAGGAGUGGAACCUGCGGCUUAAUUUGACCCAACACGGGGAAACUUACCCAGUCCGGACACAACGAGGAUUGACAGAUUGAUAGCUCUUUCUUGAUUUUGUGGAAGCCGGUGCAUGGCCGUUUUUAGUUGGUGGAGUGAUUUGUCUGGUUUAGUCCGAUAACGAACGAGACCAUAAUCUGCUAAAUAGUGUCGUUAACAAGGAGACUUACGGGGCGGUCGGGUUUACUCGGCAGUUUCGUGGGUUUCCACUAAAUUGUUGGCGAAAGAUUUACUUCUUAGAGAGACUCUUGAUGAUGCAAAAAUCAAUGGAAGAAUAUGGCAAAAACAGGUCUGUGAUGCCGCUCGAUGUCUGGGGCUGCACGCGCGUUACACUGAGAUGUUCAACAAGUAUUAUUCAUGACCUGGCCCGAAGGGGUUCAGGUAAUCUCGA